rnacentral:tRNA from 1 species
UCUUUGUUGGUAUAUUGGUCAGUGCAUGCGCUUGUCACGCGCGAAAGCUGGGUUCGAUUCCCAGACAAAGAG